rnacentral:sRNA from 1 species
AACAUUGCCGAUGAGACUUGGAUAAGGAGGGGACCUUGUUCUCCAUGUCCUCACUUGAUCUUUCACCCGACACCACGUACGUAAGUCCUGUCCGCCUGCGUCAGGGCGCACUCCUCCACCUCCUCAUCCCUGAUGACUGCACAGGACACUUGGCUGUGCCACCAGCGUUCUUAGUGAUGACCCUCUGGUUUACACAGGGACUUCCGGACGGUCCUGCGAUGUGCCUUGGUGAGCGCAGACCUUUGCGGAUCUGGGGGGAUAGUUUUGUAGGACCAAGGCCCUAGAAGUAGAGAUGCUGGUUGGCGGUCAGUGAUAACUGUGCCGAUGGCCCUUCAGACCUGUGUCCCCUUUUGCUCUCCCACCAGCAAACCAUCAACGACCCCUCGAGUUGGCUGGCGCAGGAGCCAUCCCUUCUCACGUCAGCCCGUCGGAGGGUGCAAGUUGUGCCUCCUUGUUUGUGUGUGCAUUUCCUGGGUCUGGUGAGAUGGAGCCGGGCGUUAGGUUAGGUUGGCCCUCGUGUCCUGCAGCCUGUUUGUGUCCUUCGCCCGUUGUGACAUCGAGGCAUUCUGCUUUUAAUUUUUGAUGUGUAUGAGCUCAGAAUACCACAAAUACUAACCAUUUGUCUUUUAUAUGUAUUGCAAAGAUUUUUCUACUUGUUAUUUGUCUCUUAGCUGUGUUUUUCUUUCUUGUGCAAACGUGUUUCUCUGAUUGUCACAGCAAUGUGUGUGUGUGUGUGUUUUAAGCAUAGAAAACCUGGAAAAUACAGAAAAGCACAAAGCUAAAGAAAUAAAAUUGCCAGGCGCAUCGCCUGGAGACGCACGCUCCCUGUGCCUUGUUUUAUUCUGUCGUCUCUUGUGUGCGUCUGCUCUUUUAUUUUUUAAACAAAAUUGGGUCACUUGUCACCUAUGUGGUUCCGUAUUCUAAUUUUUCACUUAACGUUCAUGAUGUGCAUGUGUAACACACUAAAAUGAUAAUGAGGUUGUUUUGGGGUGGUGGAAUUUGGGGGUACUUUUAAUUUUUUUUCCUUUUUGUUGAUUUGCAUUUUUAAAUUGUUCUGCAGAGGUCACGUAGUGCUGAUGUAAUUACAUGGUGGGAUGGAAAGCCAUUUGCUAAAGUGGACCAGGGAAGGAGGCCCCUGGCAACGUCCCCACUUGCAAACCUAGUCCCAGUGGUGGCUGCAGUACAGUGGCGACGCGCCUCGGGAAAGGACCCCUCCCUGAGCAGAGAGAGCAUGCUUUGGCCUCUUACCUACACAGUUCCUGGGGUGGGGGGUGGCAGGGCGCUCACUCCUGUUGGAGGUGGGGAGGCUGAGCUUCCAGGCACUGGGGUGGUCACAGAGCGGCAGCCUGGGACCCCUUUCCCUGCACCUGUGCAUGGGAGACAGCGUGGAGAUGUUGAGGAUCUUGGCCCUGUUCAGGCCACCUCCAGGCAGACCUCCCGACUGGCAGGACUGUUACCGCUGCACCCAGCAGCCCCCUCCUUUCUCAGGCUCCUCCUCUGUCCAGAGGAAAUGGCUGUCCCUGCCGACGUGACUCCCAGGGGGACAAGAUUUGCUGGGCUUGGGAACGGCAGGAGCAGACAUGCCAAGGCUGGGGUGCUCAGUGUUGGCUCCACGUGGGGAAAGUCACGUGUGUAGACAUCAGCUGUGGCAGGGCAGUUGGGCGGCAGGUUUUCAAAAGACAAAAAAUAUUCCUACCCCUUGACCUGGUCAUUCCACUCGUAAGGAUUUACCCAAAGCAAAGUGUCCUAUAUUUGGAAGCAGUGUCUGUGGCCUGCACGGGAUGGGUGAGUCUGUGGUUGAACAUGGCAGUGACAAAACCUCCGGGGGCCCCGCACUGCCAGGCAGGUGCACGUGGGCCUGGCCAGGGUCCCAGGCCGAGUUGACGCCUCUGCGUGAGCUGGGCUCCCCGCACCCCUUGAGCUCCACCAGCCUCCCCCACAGACAAGCAGGCCAGCAGGGAAGGCGGUGUUUCCACAAGGGCAGGCCUAGGAUGAAACCAGGGCCCCUCUCGUGAGGUGCCCGAUGAAUGUGUCCUGGAGGAUUGUGGCAUGUGAGCAAGUACCCUUGAGUGUGAACAAGCAAGGAAGCACCACUGGGUGUCAUGGCUCCAGUUUUGUGGAAAGUGGAUUCAUCCGUGGAUACGGGGACAGAAUCUGGAAUGAGGCAGUUUCCAAGAGGAUAUGAAACUUGGGUUGGAAGGGCCUGGGCCCUGGCCCUCCCUUGACCUAGGCUGAUCAUGUUUCCAUGGUCACAGAAGUGACAGAGAGCACGUUGUGCACGAUGAGGUGGAGAGACGUGAAUCUUGUCUGGGUCCCUCCAGAUCUCUGGGUGCAGCCUGAACAGCACCCCUCGCCUCACCCCACCCCUCCCUGCAGGUGGACUCCAGGGUGGGGAUGGGGGAGGGGGGAUGGCAGGGGGGCGAGCUGGGGCUCCUAGGCAGUGUCUGGCGGUGGCGCGCUGAGGCUUUGCAGGCCAUGGUGAGCUGGGCGCUUCUGCCGGGUGUCUGGGGGCUGUGGGUGUUGGGCUCCUCCUGGGGACGGGGGGCGGGGGUUCCCAGCCAGGCCAGGAGGGGAUCCUCAGAGAGAGACCCUCAGCACAUCUGCAGCAGUGGAUGGUGGGGGUGGGUCUGUGCAGGGCCCUGCAAACUGCCUCCUGCCCUCCCCCACCCCAGCCUGAUGGUUCUGUCUCUGGCUCUUUCAGACGAGCCAAACUCAGGCUGUACCUUGAGCAGCUCAAGCAACUGGUGCCCCUGGGCCCCGACAGCACCCGUCACACCACGCUGAGCCUCCUGAAGCGGGCCAAGGUGCACAUCAAGAAACUGGAGGAGCAGGACCGCCGGGCACUGAGCAUCAAGGAGCAGCUUCAGCAGGAGCAUCGUUUCCUGAAGCGGCGCCUGGAGCAGCUGUCGGUGCAGAGCGUGGAGCGCGUGCGCACAGAUAGCACGGGCUCUGCUGUCUCCACGGACGACUCAGAGCAAGAAGUGGACAUAGAGGGCAUGGAGUUUGGCCCUGGUGAGCUGGACAGUGUUGGCAGCAGCAGUGACGCGGACGACCACUACAGCCUGCAGAGUGGCACCGGCGGUGACAGUGGCUUCGGGCCCCACUGCCGGCGGCUGGGCCGCCCCGCCCUCUCGUAGGCCCGUGCCCUCUGCUCCUUGGCCUGCCUGCCCGCCAGCCACGUGUGUCAGCCCUCCAGUUUUCCUUCAGUUGAUGCCAGCCUCUCCACAGGCCCACUGCUGUGCCAUUCUGGAAGCCCCAGUUGCCGCUGGGCUGCCUGGCACUGCCCGCUUGCCGGUCAGGGCCUGCCGAGCUGCCUGCCCCUUCCAGCUGGGCAGAGUCCCCUGCAAGGAGGCAGGGCCCAGCUUCCACGUCCGGAGCCCUGGUCAGCAUAGCCGCCCACGGUCUGUUCUCAGAUUCCUAAUCAUUCCAGAAGUAUUAAACGUCAUUGCUGCAAACCUCGGCAGGUGCCGUGUGAGGGGCUUAAUGACCACCACAGGGAGCUCAGACCCCAACCCUGGAUCCCAGGAGAAAGGAGUGGACCAAGGAAGGAAGGAAGGCAAGGCUGUCUGUCCAUCCGUCCGUCUGUCCACCUACCUGUCAGUCCACGUAGGUUCCUGGUGUGGACAAGGGAUCUGUGAAGGGCGGGACCUGGGUGAGCACUGGGGCAGGUGGGUGGUCAAGGUCCUUCCCACCUCGCAGGUGUCAGAACCUAGGGCUGGGCUCUCGGGGCCGGCCAGCCCAGCCCAGCCCACACCGAGCUGGGCAGCGUCUGCUCUGGUAGGACUGUCAGACGCACACACGCACGCACUUAGACACACGCACUCAUGUACAUGCUCUCACACACGCAGACACACCUGGGUGUCCCGAGGUCACACGUUGUGGAGAUGAUGGCCUUCAGGGGUCAUCUGGCAAACAGCCCCUGGGCUGUGCCUGGAUCCCCCUCCAGCUCCCGCUCACCCACGCCCACCCAAUAGUCCUGCCUGUCUGCACAGGAGAGGGGCUUCUCUUCCUGGCUGGGGCUGGGGUGAGCUGGAGGCUGCUAAGUUGCAGCCGCUGGGUCCUUGGGGGCUUACUCAUCUCCCUUUUUUAAACAAAAAGCAAAAAAGUAAAAUGCUGCACUGCCCAGCAGCCCGGUUAGGGCUCCUGGAGCCACCUUAGGAAAGGGCUCCUCAUGAGCUCUGCUGCGGCAGCCUCAGCUGGCAGAGAGGCUUUCCCAG